UCAGCAGUCAAGAAUAUUAGUCAAUGCUCGAAAGAGUGAACUAGCUAACCGAAAUCAUGGGUGUGCCACCCAAGGUGUCGUAACGAAAGGUUGCACAAUUUUGUUGUCAAAAGCGAUAAAUUUGUUGUGAUUGGGAAAUAAUGAUAUAUCCGUUACUAUCAGUGUCGUCCAAAGCUGGUGCCAGAAGACUCGGUAAGGCCAGAGACGCAAACGUUAGUCGUCAUAAACAGGCGUAAAGGGUUCGUAGGCAUCUUUUUAAAGCAAUUUAAAGAUAGAAUCUAAUGGAGUUUGAACCGCUAAAUGCUUUAAGUAGGGAUGAAAUAUUUAGAGAUAAGGUAGAAUGCUCAAGGCGUAAGCAGCCUCUCAUGUAAAGAUUGACGCUGAGGAACUAAGGAGAGCCCCAGGAAAAAGGAUUAGAUACCCAAGUACCCUCUCUGCCAACGAUGAAUGGUACUCAUUAGCAAAUGUUUAGUGGGAAAGUUAACACGUGAACCAUUCCGCCUUGUGAGUACGGUCGCAAAGUCUGAAAACAAAAAAAUUAGUCGGUCUUGAAGCAAACGAAGUGAAGCAUGUUAUUUAAUUC
rnacentral:rRNA from 1 species